GACGAACGCUGGCGGCGUGCUUAACACAUGCAAGUCGAACGGUAAGGCCCUUCGGGGUACACGAGUGGCGAACGGGUGAGUAACACGUGGGUGAUCUGCCCUGCACUUCGGGAUAAGCCUGGGAAACUGGGUCUAAUACCGGAUAGGACCCUGGGAUGCAUGUCCUGGGGUGGAAAGCUUUUGCGGUGUGGGAUGGGCCCGCGGCCUAUCAGCUUGUUGGUGGGGUGAUGGCCUACCAAGGCGACGACGGGUAGCCGGCCUGAGAGGGUGACCGGCCACACUGGGACUGAGAUACGGCCCAGACUCCUACGGGAGGCAGCAGUGGGGAAUAUUGCACAAUGGGCGCAAGCCUGAUGCAGCGACGCCGCGUGAGGGAUGACGGCCUUCGGGUUGUAAACCUCUUUCAGCACCGACGAAGCGCAAGUGACGGUAGGUGCAGAAGAAGGACCGGCUAACUAUGUGCCAGCCGCCGCGGUAA
rnacentral:rRNA from 1 species